rnacentral:tRNA from 1 species
ACUUGAUUAGUAUAAAAGUAUAAAAGACUUCCAAUCUUUAGGUCUAAUUUUAGAUUAAGUA